UACGUAGGGGGCGAGCGUUGUCCGGAUUUAUUGGGCGUAAAGAGCUCGUAGGCGGUGUGUCACGUCGAUCGUGAAAACUUACAGCUUAACUGUGAGCGUGCGGUCGAUACGGGCAUCACUGGAGUUCGGCAGGGGAGACUGGAAUUCCUGGUGUAGCGGUGAAAUGCGCAGAUAUCAGGAGGAACACCGGUGGCGAAGGCGGGUCUCUGGGCCGAUACUGACGCUGAGGAGCGAAAGCGUGGGGAGCGAACAGG
rnacentral:rRNA from 1 species